UUACAAGAAGACACCCAUUUCCUGCUAUUUGGCAAAAUGAGUAAGACCACACGCCACAGUGGGCUAUAUCACCUAGUAUGGUUCAUUACUAUCUUGUGGCCUACACU